UUCUUAUUUUAUUUUGUUUUAUUUUAUUGUACAUUCUAUCAGUUGUAGUUGAUAGCGGUGGCAACAGUCAUACAGAGUAAUUAGCACUGUUGCUCUUCUGGCUUUGGUUUCAACUCUAUGAAGGCAGGACUUUUAUGGGCUGCAAACCAAGGGCACUUUGUGAGUACUUUCUUGGCUUCUAGAAAGGGAUCAGUAGUGACAGCUAAACAUCCCAUCAAUUAUUUAUCAGCUUUAUCGUAGUUUUGAGUUUUGCCCUUUAUAUCAUGCAGGAAAUGGAGCAGAGAAAUACCUCUGCCUGGGAAAUCACUUAACAUUGCAUGAAUUCAUCAAAAAACAAACCAGACCAGCAGCCAGGUACAAGGAACAUGGACAGUGGAAGGAAGAAGCAGGUUGCCAAAUGCUGGAGUUCCUAUAUUGACAGCUCCUCACAAUAUUGUUCAUUUCUAAAAACUGCAGCAUUCAUCCAUGCUGAAAGUCAGAAAAGGCAGUUCCAUUGUCCAUGUAUGCAGAGGGCAUGGGCGAGCAUUAUGCAGGUUUGUGGAAAUCUGCAUAAAAAAGGCACUCAAACUCUGUAAAGUAUCAUUUAAAUACUAUGUUUUACAGCUAAUGCUAUAAAGAAAGAAAGAAUAGCAUACAUAACUGUACAUCCCUUCUGAUGCUGGGAUGCUAGAGAAGUUUGUCUUGUGGACAAGGGAUGCACAUGGCACAGCACAGUGUGGGAACUGCAGUUCACGUGUGAGAUGGCUGCUUUGUGGGUAAGCACAGACAGAGGAGCUCAGCUCAGACCAGGCACUCAGCUCCACUGAGGCUUCCUUACCCCUGAUCCCUUAAAAAAGCAGGUUGUGGUCAUGCCAAGCCCAGCAGCAUGUGACCUCCACCCACCCAGCAGCACCAUGCACAUGGCAGGUGUUUGAGGGCAACAUUGGCUCUGCAGUCCCACCCUGCCCCAGGAUGUUAUGUGCCAAUUAUUGGCAUCUGUGCAUCAGGCUGCCCCUGGUAGUAAUUAUAGCUCAGGUGUAUGGGCUGAUCUGUUGCUUCUUGCUGUGAGAUCACUGUCCUUGUAGCAGCACAUCUUUCAACAAGUCUUCCUAGGUAGGCUUUAAAUCCCUUUAAAAAACCCCUUAGCAAGCAAAAAUCUUUAGUUCAAACUAAACUCCUGCAUGUCACUAAGCAGAUGUUCUUAAGCUGGUGUGGAUUUAAGCUUAACUAACCCAAAUGAGAACAAACCUCCUUGCCAUGAAUGUGUUUGUCUUUCUGCACUGGCUGACUCACCCAGGUUUGGGUUCUACAGCUAUUGUUGAAAAAUAAGGCUUGGAACCCCAUUCACCCACCCUGCUGUAAUUUCUCAGGCUUUGCCAAGGGAGUGGAAAAUGCCAUUGAACCAGAAGAGCAGCUCUCAUGCUCCAUGAGACUUGGGUUGUACCAGUGCAAGUGGCACAGGACCGAGCCCUACUGCCAGUUAUGAAUAUUUAAGCAAUGCCUACAGAGAAGAAGCUGUGAGCAUCAAACAGCAGUGCUUCCAGGCAUGUCAUCCCAGGGGGAACCCAACAGGGAUCAGGCAAGGGGCUGUGUCCCUGUGCCAGCAGGAAGUGGGAUGCUGGAUGCUGGAGGCAGGGUGCAAGAUGCUGGAUGUGGGCACAGGUGGAUGGACUCACCCUGAAGCUAGGCAUGCUCCUGCCCAGUGGCACAUGGUGCAGCAUGGAAGGAAUUGUGAAAGCAUGCUGAAAAUGGUGCUGACCUGAACAAGAGAAAGGACCAAAGAUCACAGAAAAUCAACAAUGUCCGUGAGAUGACCGCGAGCCGAGACUUUGAAACCAGAGCUGGGAAUGCUGGGGUAAAACUUUUCAGAUAAAAAGGACAGCAAAAAUAACCAUCAAUGUGCUGCAGUGGGGUUUGCUUCUUUCCCUCCUACAUCUCCUUGUGCAACACUGCGCGCGCAGCUUAGCCUGAAAGCCUAAAAUCAGGCUUUAUAUCACAUGCUUCGAAUAAAACGAUCUGUGAUAGGC